UAAAGCAAGUAGAGCUCAAAGCCUCACUCUCUUCAACAAUGGCGGAAAUCACCGAAUCACCUCCAGAACCUCCAGGAGAGACGCACCAGACACCCGAAACCACUCGCAAAGGUCAAGAACUCGAAUCGGACUUCGACCCCAAAAUCAUGGGAAAAUCCAAACCGGGACUCGAGCACCUCAGUCGCACCGUCUCAGUCCUCUUCUCCUUCCUCCUAGGCUUUCCAUUUAUGUGGCAGUAAGUGGAAAUCUAUCGCGCUCCGCUCCCAUUCCGCGAAAUCGAUGCUUUCUCGGCCCAAAUCGAAUCGAAGCCCUUGUUCCCAUGCCAUUUCCAAGCGAUCUUUAUAGGCUUUGAUUCCAAACCCUCCAUAACCCCAGACGCCCAAGAAUCUUCCAUUCUCUACCAAAUUGCCAAAUUGACAUCCAAAAUACCAUAAUGUGGGACUUGCACGAACCACACUGUUCUAGCUCUGAUGUAGCUUCCUUUUGGUGGCUUCAAGUUUCAACUCUAAUAGCUCCUCGUCCAUUUCAGGUUUUUUCAAACAGCUCUUAUCUGCAGCCUUUGGUAUAACUGAAUUUUCAUUAGUGGACCUUGUUUGUUGCACUGCCGUCUUUCGGAUAUUCAUCUGUUCCUUCUCAUUUUGGCGUAGUGCUGUCGGCAUUUUGAUCUUGAUCACACGUCGCGUUUUUUUCCCAUCACUACCACUCAUGCCACUGGAAGCCAUCGAUGCCAAUUUCUUCAGGUAUUCACCACCGUUGCCAUUCAACUCUAUCCUUUUUGUUGUUUGGUGUUGGCAACUUGACCCUCUUAACAUGACAAGGUUUCUUUUAAGCACAAUUCAUGUUGGUAGAAGAUGUUGGAACCGGUUCCAGCAUCUUAUCAUCCCAAUAAGAAAAUGAAGACUUUGGCUUAUGGUAUAAAACCUGCCCAUCUAGAACCGGUUCCAACAUCUUCUACCGACAUGAAUUGUGCUGAAAAGAAACCUUGCCAUGUUAUGAGGGUCAAGUUGCCAACACCAAACAACAAAGGGAUAGAGUUGAAUGGCAACAAUGGUAAAUAUCCGAAGACAUUGGCACUGUUGGCUUCCGGUGGCAUGAGUGGUAGUGAUGAGAAAAAAGAGCGACGUGUGAUCAAGAUCAAGAUGCCAACAGCAUUACGCCAAAAUAAGAAGGAACAGAAGAAUAUCCGAAAGAUGGUUGUUUAACAAACAGGAUCCACUAAUGGCAAUUCAGUUGUAGCAAAGGCUACAGAUAAGAGCUGUUUGAAAAAACUUGAAAUUUAUGAGGAGCUAUUAGAGUUGAAACUUGAAGCCACCAAAAGGAAGUUACAUCAGAGGUACCAACAAGCUCAGAAUUCCAAGAGGAAGAUUCAGUUGCUAGAUUUCCAAAACAUCCCAAGAGGCAGUACAGGUGUUGAGAGAGUCUGACAGCCAUGCAUUUAUUUUUGAAUAUCGAGAGUCUGAUGUCUCGCUAGGAAAGAGUCCUCUGCCUCCUUUAUACUUGCUCUUGCAAGGAUAUCACAGUCAAUCAUUCAUGAGGAGCAGAAAAUGGAUACUCAUGGGAGUACGUACAAACGAUGGAAAGUGAGAUCUAGAAAUUAAUUUUUUACCGUAUGCCUUUGAAUUGUGGGAUAGGAUCCAGUUUUUAUAAGCUGAGAAUAAAGUAUUUUUUUACUGGGAGUUGGACUUAUUGUUAUUAUUUUAUUAAUUAUUAGCACUAUUGCAGCUUGGAACGUCAUUGUCCAUGCCGUUCACAUUGUCAGGAUAGAGUUGGGAAUUUGAGUGGAGGUCUAGAAUUUCUUGAGCUCUGUGGGUUUGAGAAAACAAAAGAAGCUACAUCAGAGGUACCAACAAGCUCAUAAUUCAAAAAAGAAGAUUUAGUUGCUAGAUUUCCAAGACAUCCCUAAGCUUGAGAAUGUUAUCAAGAGACCCAAGAGGCAGUAUAGGUGUUGAGAGAGUCUGCCAGCCAUGUAAUUAUUUUUCAAUAUCGGUUAAUUAAGAUUAAUUGCUCAGUUGCUAGAUUUUGAGACAUUUUGUGUUAUUUGAUUCUUUUCCAUCACCUAAAUGGAUCCUGCAAUAUGUAAGGAACCAGUACUAUCUUUUGUACUUGUUAUUUUUAGUUAAGUAUCUACUUUUGAUUUGUAAGCCUUGUUCUGGCCCUUGAUUCUUUUUCAUCGGUUAGUGAAUUAUAUUUACACAUACAUGGAUAAUUACUGUG